rnacentral:tRNA from 1 species
GCGCGAGUGGCGGAACGGCAGACGCGCCGCGCUUAGGACGCGGUGCCCGGAAGGGCGUGGGGGUUCGAGUCCCCCCUCGCGCA